rnacentral:rRNA from 1 species
GUCCACAUGAUAGUUUUUUGUGGUCUGGCCUGCUCACUGAAUAAGAUUUAAAGAGCCGCGGUAUUUUGACCGUGCAAAGGUAGCAUAAUCAUUAGUUUUUUAAUUGAAAGCUUGUAUGAAUGGUUAAACAAAAGAAGGUCUGUCUCUGUUUUAAAAAUUGAAUUUAACUUUUAGGUGAAAAGGCUUAAAUUUUUUAAGGGGACGAUAAGACCCUAUAAAGCUUUAUAAUGGAAUAUAAUUUUUUUGAAAUAUUAUAUAAAAAUAAAAUUUUAUUUUUUUAUUUUAUUGGGGCGAUACGGAUAAAAAUAAAAUUAACUGUCAGAAAUAGAAUACAUAUAUUUAUGUUUAGUAUAAAAUGAUCCUAAAUAAAGAUUAGAAGAUAAAGUUACUUUAGGGAUAACAGCGUUAUUUCUUUUGAGAGUCCUUAUUGAAAAAGAAGUUUACGACCUCGAUGUUGAAUUAAAAUAUCUUUACAGUGUAGCCGUUGUAAGAGAAGGUCUGUUCGACCUUUAAAUUUUUACAUGAUUUGAGUUCAAACCGGUGUAAGCCAGGUU